AUUGAACGCUGGCGGAAUGCUUUACACAUGCAAGUCGAACGGCAGCACGGACUUCGGUCUGGUGGCGAGUGGCGAACGGGUGAGUAAUGUAUCGGAACGUGCCCAGUCGUGGGGGAUAACGUAGUGAAAAUUACGCUAAUACCGCAUACGAUCUAUGGAUGAAAGCGGGGGAUCGCAAGACCUCGCGCGAUUGGAGCGGCUGAUAUCAGAUUAGGUAGUUGGUGGGGUAAAGGCCCACCAAGCCAACGAUCUGUAGCUGUUCUGAGAGGACGACCAGCCACACUGGAACUGAGACACGGUCCAGACUCCUACGGGAGGCAGCAGUGGGGAAUUUUGGACAAUGGGCGAAAGCCUGAUCCAGCCAUUCCGCGUGCAGGAUGAAGGCCCUCGGGUUGUAAACUGCUUUUGUACAGAACGAAAAGGUUUCUACUAAUACUAGGAGCUCAUGACGGUACUGUAAGGAUAAGCACCGGCUAACUACGUGCCAGCAGCCGCCGUAA
rnacentral:rRNA from 1 species